UAUUAUUACAAAGUCAAUAAAAAAUAAAAAAAUUAAAAAAAAAAAAAAUAAAUAAAUAAAUAAGUCACUAAAAAAAAAAAAAAAAAAUCCACGAUGAACAAAACGUGCACAUUUUAAACAAAGCCGGGUUCCGACCCUGCACUUGCACGACCUGCCUCGCUCACCUCACCCUGAUGCCAACCCUGGGAGGCACUGGAAACCAAACCCAGGACCUCCCACGUGGUAGGUGGUGCUCACCUGCCUGAGCCACAUCUGCUUCCCCCCUUUGCACGACUUUUGAGCUCACAAAAUGCUGGACACCAGGCAGCGGGACUGGUGACUCUAGCACUGAAAGCGAGUUUGGUUGGAGAGGGCUCCCUGGGGCCUUUCAGCUCCCAACACACACAGAGGCCUUUGUCCUGGGUCCACUGAGCUGGGGUUCUCCCGGUGAAUGAAACCUGACCCUGCUUCUCAGCAGAUCCUGAGACCCUACCAGCAGAAAGGUCUGGUUCCAGCCCCCUAGGGCAUAACUUCGGGUUGACAAUCACACAGGACCAGGUUUAAAUUUCACAUGGACACCCACCACACACCCCCUCACCCCCGCUCAAUUAGUCUCUACUGACUCUACCCUAAAAUAAAGAUAUGGAUCUCAUAGGAUUGCUAGAAGACAAAUUUUGUAAAAAGCAUAAUAAAGAGAUCCCAGACUUGCUUGGUUCGAGAGGCCCUUAGCGUCUCAGUAGCUUUUUCACAAUAUCCCUAACCCCUCUCUACCCCACUAAGAAAAUUAAGUUAUGUUUAGUAUAUGGUUAGCUCAAAACAAUAAGUAUUCAUGGUUGAACAAUUGUGUAGUCACCUGAGAAAAAUAAUGCACAUAAAUAGAAAAAAAAAAUAAUUGUUUCAGUUUAUUUUUAAAUAACCUAAGAACACACUAAU
rnacentral:lncRNA from 1 species